UACGUAGGGGGCAAGCGUUGCUCGGAAUCACUGGGCGUAAAGGGCGCGUAGGCGGGGAGGUAAGUCGGGUGUGAAAUCCCUCGGCCCAACCGAGGAACUGCGCCCGAGACUGCUUCUCUUGAGUCCCGGAGAGGAAGAUGGAAUUCCCGGUGUAGCGGUGAAAUGUGUAGAGAUCGGGAGGAACACCGGUGGCGAAGGCGGUCUUCUGGACGGUGACUGACGCUGAGGCGCGAAAGCGUGGGGAGCAAACGGG
rnacentral:rRNA from 1 species